UACACCAAUCGAAGUUAUGGGUUGUCAAAAGCUGUACGCACCGAGGCUGGUGAUGACCGCACUGGUGCUGACUGCCGCACUGGUCAUGGCUGGCAUAGCGGACGCCCAGAGCACCACGACCACGACGCGGAGAUCGGCCGCGGUGGACGUAGGUCUGGGAGACACCGUUGGCAGUCUCGGAGGAACACUUGGGAACACCCUAGGAGGAGGCGUUCUGCACGUAAGCCGCGUCGGCAAGUCCAUAUCGACGUCAUCGGCACACAGCCGUUCACAGAAGAGUUAGUCGUAAACCCAUUAAAAACGGUUUAUCUAAUUUCAUGUUGUUUCUUUGUGUAAAUUUUUUAUAAUGUUGAUGUUGUACGUUCAACUGUUAAUAAACAAUACUAAUGUGUC